UACGUAGGGUGCAAGCGUUGUCCGGAAUUAUUGGGCGUAAAGAGCUUGUAGGCGGUUUUUCGCGUCUGCUGUGAAAUUUCGGGGCUCAACCCCGAACUUGCAGUGGGUACGGGCAGACUAGAGUGUGGUAGGGGAGACUGGAAUUCCUGGUGUAGCGGUGAAAUGCGCAGAUAUCAGGAGGAACACCGAUGGCGAAGGCAGGUCUCUGGGCCACUACUGACGCUGAGACGCGAAAGCAUGGGGAGCGAACAGG
rnacentral:rRNA from 1 species